rnacentral:rRNA from 1 species
GACGAACGCUGGCGGCGUGCUUAACACAUGCCAGUCGAACGGAAAGGCCCUGCUUUUGUGGGGUGCUCGAGUGGCGAACGGGUGAGUAACACGUGAGUAACCUGCCCUUGACUUUGGGAUAACUUCAGGAAACUGGGGCUAAUACCGGAUAGGAGCUCCUGCUGCAUAGUGGGGGUUGGAAAGUUUCGGCGGUUGGGGAUGGACUCGCGGCUUAUCAGCUUGUUGGUGGAGUAGUGGCUUACCAAGGCUUUGACGGGUAGCCGGCCUGAGAGGGUGACCGGCCACAUUGGGACUGAGAUACGGCCCAGACUCCUACGGGAGGCAGCAGUGGGGAAUAUUGCACAAUGGGCGGAAGCCUGAUGCAGCAACGCCGCGUGCGGGAUGACGGCCUUCGGGUUGUAAACCGCUUUCGCCUGUGACGAAGCGUGAGUGACGGUAAUGGGUAAAGAAGCACCGGCUAACUACGUG